ensembl:snoRNA
AGCACUAUAUUUAAAACUGUGGGUGGGAAUUUUCCUCAUUGUUGGUUAUGCUGUAGUGUGAAAGAAUUCCUGGCCUUUUUUCUUGCACAGCUGACUUACACCAUUCUGCUGUUCCUAUAUGGAAUUAAGGAGCAUGU